AUGAGGAGACUGAGUUUGUGGUGGCUGCUGAGCAGGGUCUGUCUGCUGCUGCCACCGCCCUGCGCACUGGUACUAGCCGGGGUGCCCGGCUCCUCCUCGCACCCGCAGCCGUGCCAGAUCCUCAAGCGCAUCGGGCACGCGGUGAGGGUGGGCGCGGUACACUUGCAGCCCUGGACCACGGCCCCGCGCUCGGCCAGCCGCGCUCCGGACGGCAGCCGGGCAGGCGCCCAGAGGGAUGAGCCGGAGCCAGGGACUUGGCGGCCCCCGGCGCCCUCGCCGGGCGCACGCUGGUUGGGGAGCACCCUACGUGGCCGGGGGCCGCCUGGCGCCCGGAAGCCCGGGGAGGGAACCCGGGCAGAGACCUUGUGGCCGCGGGACGCCCUCCUAUUCGCAGUGGACAACCUGAACCGCGUGGAAGGGCUACUGCCCUACAACCUGUCUUUGGAAGUAGUGAUGGCCAUCGAGGCAGGCCUGGGCGAUCUGCCGCUUUUGCCCUUCUCCUCCCCUAGCUCGCCGUGGAGCAGUGACCCUUUCUCCUUUCUGCAAAGUGUGUGCCACACCGUGGUGGUGCAAGGGGUAUCGGCGCUGCUCGCCUUCCCCCAGGGCCUGGGCGAGAUGAUGGAGCUCGACUUAGUCAGCUCAGUCCUGCACAUUCCCGUGAUCAGCAUCGUGCGCCACGAGUUUCCGCGGGAGAGUCAGAAUCCCCUUCACCUACAACUGAGUUUAGAAAAUUCAUUAAGUUCUGAUGCUGAUGUCACUGUCUCAAUCCUGACCAUGAACAACUGGUACAAUUUUAGCUUGUUGCUGUGCCAGGAAGACUGGAACAUCACCGACUUCCUCCUCCUUACCCAGAACAAUUCCAAGUUCCAUCUUGGGUCUAUCAUCAACAUCACUGAUAAGCUCUCCUCCAAUGAGGACCUCUUGAGCUUCCUACAGGUCCAGCUUGAGAAUUUGAAAAACAGCACACCCACGAUGGUGAUGUUUGGCUGCGACAUGGAAAGCAUCCGGCGGAUUUUCAAAAUUACUACCCAGGUUGGGGUAACACCCCUUGAACUUCGUUGGAUUCUGGGAGAUUCCCAGAAUGUGGAGGAACUAAGGACAGAAGGUCUGCCCUUAGGGCUCAUUGCUCAUGGAAAAACAACACAGUCUGUCUUUGAAUACUACGUACAAGAUGCUAUGGAGCUGGUCGCAAGAGCUGUAGCCACAGCCACCAUGAUCCAGCCAGAACUUGCUCUCAUUCCCAGCACGAUGAAUUGCAUGGAGAUAGAAACUACAAAUCUCACUUCAGGACAAUAUUUAUCAAGGUUUCUAGCCAACACCACUUUCAGAGGCCUCAGUGGUUCCAUCAAAGUAAAAGGUUCCACCAUCAUCAGCUCAGAAAACAACUUUUUCAUCUGGAAUCUGCAACAUGACCCCAUGGGAAAGCCAAUGUGGACCCGCUUGGGCAGCUGGCAGGGGGGAAAGAUCGUCAUGGACUAUGGAGUAUGGCCAGAGCCAGCCCAGAGACACAAAACCCACUUCCAACACCCAAGUAAGCUACACUUGAGAGUGGUUACCUUGAUUGAGCAUCCGUUUGUCUUCACAAGGGAGGUAGAUGAUGAAGGCUUAUGCCCUGCUGGCCAGCUCUGUCUAGACCCCAUGACUAAUGAUUCUUCUGUAUUGGACAACCUUUUUAGCAGCCUCCACAGUGGUAAUGAUACAGUGCCCAUUAAAUUCAAGAAGUGCUGCUAUGGAUAUUGCAUCGAUCUGCUGGAAAAGCUAGCAGAGGACAUGAACUUUGACUUUGACCUCUAUAUUGUUGGGGAUGGAAAGUAUGGAGCCUGGAAAAAUGGGCACUGGACUGGGCUGGUAGGUGAUCUCCUGAGUGGGACUGCCCAUAUGGCAGUCACUUCCUUCAGCAUCAAUACUGCACGGAGCCAGGUGAUAGAUUUCACCAGCCCUUUUUUCUCCACCAGCCUGGGCAUCUUAGUGAGGACCCGAGACACAGCAGCUCCCAUCGGAGCCUUCAUGUGGCCACUCCACUGGACAAUGUGGCUGGGUAUUUUCGUGGCUCUGCAUAUCACUGCCAUCUUCCUCACUCUGUAUGAAUGGAAGAGCCCUUUUGGAAUGACUCCCAAGGGGCGGAAUAGAAGUAAAGUCUUCUCCUUUUCUUCAGCCUUGAAUGUCUGUUAUGCCCUCUUGUUUGGUAGAACAGUAGCCAUCAAACCCCCGAAAUGCUGGACUGGAAGGUUUCUAAUGAACCUUUGGGCCAUUUUCUGUAUGUUUUGCCUUUCUACGUACACUGCAAACUUGGCUGCCGUCAUGGUAGGUGAGAAGAUCUAUGAAGAGCUUUCUGGAAUACAUGACCCUAAGUUGCACCAUCCCUCCCAAGGCUUCCGCUUUGGAACUGUCCGAGAAAGCAGUGCUGAAGAUUAUGUGAGACAAAGCUUCCCGGAGAUGCACGAAUAUAUGAGAAGGUACAAUGUUCCAGCCACCCCCGAUGGAGUGGAGUAUCUCAAGAAUGAUCCAGAGAAACUAGACGCCUUCAUCAUGGACAAAGCCCUUUUGGAUUAUGAAGUGUCAAUAGAUGCUGACUGCAAACUUCUAACUGUGGGGAAGCCAUUUGCCAUAGAAGGAUAUGGCAUUGGUCUCCCACCCAACUCUCCACUGACCUCCAACAUAUCCGAGCUAAUCAGUCAAUACAAGUCACACGGGUUUAUGGAUGUGCUACAUGACAAGUGGUACAAGGUGGUUCCCUGUGGCAAGAGAAGUUUUGCUGUCACUGAGACUUUGCAAAUGGGCAUCAAACACUUCUCUGGACUCUUCGUGCUGCUGUGCAUCGGAUUUGGUCUAUCCAUCUUGACAACCAUUGGUGAGCACAUGGUGUACAGGCUGCUGCUACCACGAAUCAAAAACAAAUCCAGGCUGCAAUACUGGCUCCACACCAGUCAGAGAUUACAUAGAGCACUAAACACAUCAUUUGUAGAGGAAAAGCAGCAGCGUUUCAAGACCAAACGUUUGGAAAAGAGGUAAGUAGAGGCCAAUGCCAGCUGUCUUUACGUUUGCUAAAAUAAAAGUUUAGAGACACAACUGUAUAAUUAUUCAGAUCAAAUCAGGACAAACUGUUGAUAAAUAAAAUAAGUAUAAAUACAUGUGGUUUCAGAUAAAUAAAAGAGAUAAACAAUAUAUAUGGACAUUGACAUGCAGUACAGGCAAUAAUACACUAUCAUGGAUAGGGUGUAGACGUGGACUCUAGAGUCAACCAUCUGGAUCCAAAUCCUGUCUCAACACUUACGAUAUGUGUUACUUUGAUGACUUAUUUAUUUAAACUCCCUGUGCCUCAGGUUCCUCAUUUGUGAAACUGAGAUAAAAACAGUACCUACUUCCUAGAGCUGGUGUAAAGAUUAAAUGAGAUAAUACAUGUAAAGCCCUGAAAACAAAGCAAAUGCCUAAUAAAUAUUAGCUAUUAUUAUAUACAAAAGACUUAAUUCAUGAACAGUGCAAGCAAUUAAUUUCAUGUGAUAUCUUUUUGGCAUGUUUACACUCCCCACCCCUUUCCAGCACUCCUAGGAAUAUAUUAAUAGUAUUUGAAAUAUGCAACAGACAUGUCCUGCCUAAUCCAUUUCGUGGCAUUCUUCUACAAAUUCCUUAGGAGAGAGCAUCUCAUUAACAGGAAUUAACAAGCCUUAAAUGCAUCAAUGAUAUUUGAACAUUGAAACGCUGCACCUUCACCACAGCCAGCCUGUGGAUGACUGGUGCCUUAUUCACGGUGACUAAAGACGUCAGAAGCUUUUAGGUCUCGUUCCUGGCUGGCCUCUGUUGCCUGCUGCCUAAGGCAGCCCUCUUGGUUGUUUUACGCUCUCAGAGGCCUCAGACAAGGGCACCUCUCUCAUCAUAACAAAAGAAAAAGGGAUGGAAAAUAUGACUUCUUUUCAUUGUUUUUUAAUCUCUUCUGGGACUGCUGCAGUCCUCUUCCCUCUAGUUUUUGCAUCUAGUCUGUCAGAAUCAUUUCCAUUAUUUCUUAUAGGCUCUCUUUCCAGUCAAUGAGCACUCCCCAAACCCCUCUCAGUCUGUGGCUUUCCUGUAUCAUAUCGCAAGUCUGCUCGUGACAAGCUGUGGACUAAUCAGGUCACAGCUGUUCCAAGUCAUGUUACAUAUAUUUUUUUCUAUAAUUAUUUCUAACAUAAAUUUCUAACCAGAAGAACACAAGAAGACAGCAGCAAAGCUAUCAUCUUACAAUGGCAAAACAUUCGUGUUCCAGCUAUAGAAACAGGGAGCCCAGUGAUCCCAUCUCCAGCUGUGAUGUGAUUCGUAACCACAUUUUCUCACUUAAAUCAAGAACCUAAUUGCCUUUUCACUCAACUUACCCACUUUUCUUGGCAUAUUUCCUUCCUGAACCCCCUAUUUUGAGAAGGAGCUAAGGCAGAACUCAUUCUUUUGCUUUAUCUUGGGCCCACAUUUCCUGUGCCCACCUCUCUACAGCCCAACAUUUACAACCGUUUAAACACAAUGAGUGUUUGGGGUCCCAGAGCCUUCAGGUCUCUUUUGAAUAGUCCAGUGGAGCAUUGAACCUCUAUGUCAUAUAACUGCUUCAUGGAAGCCUAUUUUGCUCAUUUAUAAUGUUAAAAAACAGUUCAUUCACUGGUCACAUUACACUCUAGGAAGGCUUGAUACAAAACACAACCUAAAUGUUAUUGAGGCCAAGAGUGUAACCCUCUCAUUCUUUGCAAUUAGACACUAAAUCUUAUAUUCAGCAUAUGUCACCUGACACUCAUAGGUAGCCCAGAGCCACACAACAAUUAGCAGAGCACUGGUGGUGCACACAACUAGAGUUUGCCAUGGAGUCCAGCUUUUGUUUAUUCUUCUAUAUUACCAGAUAUAUAAAGCUCUGGAGAUAACCAGAUCGGCUGUCUCUACUUACCUGAUCACUGUGGUUGCCUGAACAGUCCAAGAAAAUGUGCAGAUGCUCAACUCCCAGGAUUUCCCUGCUACGAAUCAUUCUAUGAUACUA